rnacentral:rRNA from 1 species
UGAGGAAUUUUGCGCAAUGGGAGCAAUCCUGACGCAGCAACGCCGCGUGGGUGAUGAAGGCCUUCGGGUCGUAAAGCCCUGUCAGGUGGGAAGAAUGUCCCGGGACUGAACAGGUUCCGGGAGUGACGGUACCACCAGAGGCAGCACCGGCUAACUCCGUGCCAGCAGCCGCGGUAAUAGGGAGGGUGCAAGCGUUAUUCGGAAUUACUGGGCGUAAAGCGCGUGUAGGCGGUCCUGCAAGUCUGAUGUGAAAGCCCCGGGCUUAACCCGGGAAGUGCAGUGGAAACGGGGGGACUUGAGUACUGGAGAGGAUGGGGGAAUUCCCGGUGUAGAGGUGAAAUUCGUAGAGAUCGGGAGGAAUAUCAGUGGCGAAGGCGCCCAUCUGGACGGUAACUGACGCUGAGACGCGAAAGCGUGGGGAGCAAACA